rnacentral:lncRNA from 1 species
UUUAAUUAACAUUAACUAUAUACCUUCAUUCAACGACUAACUGAACUAACUGAUACCAUUCAACAAACUCAACUAACGGAUAAAAACUCCAACUGAAUCCAAACUUCACUCUCGAAUUCCACAUUUCAAUUAGACUCCUCUAACUGAUUUUCACCAAUCCCCAAGUUCCUAAAACUAUAAAGAUUCAUCAUCAAUCAUUUCAUCAUU